rnacentral:rRNA from 1 species
GACGAACGCUGGCGGCGUGCCUAAUACAUGCAAGUAGAACGCUGAAGGAGGAGCUUGCUCUUCGGGAUGAGUUGCGAACGGGUGAGUAACGCGUAGGUAACCUGCCUGGUAGCGGGGGAUAACUAUUGGAAACGAUAGCUAAUACCGCAUAAAAUUGAUUAUUGCAUGAUAGUCAAUUAAAAGGUGCAAUUGCAUCACUACCAGAUGGACCUGCGUUGUAUUAGCUAGUUGGUGAGGUAACGGCUCACCAAGGCCACGAUACAUAGCCGACCUGAGAGGGUGAUCGGCCACACUGGGACGAGGACACGGCCCAAACUCCUACGGGAGGCAGCAGUAGGGAAUCUUCGGCAAUGGACGGAAGUCUGACCGAGCAACGCCGCGUGAGUGAAGAAGGUUUUCGGAUCGUAAAGCUCUGUUGUAAGAGAAGAACGAGUGUGAGAGUGGAAAGUUCACACUGUGACGGUAUCUUACCAGAAAGAGACGGCUAACUACGUG